CUCCUCCUCACACUUCCUAGAAUCUUGUGAGAAGAAAAGAGGAGUUCUGGUACAUGUGAUGCAAGUUCAUAAAAUUAAUGGUCAUGCCCUAAAUUCAUGCGUCUUACAAGCUGAUGAAUCAUUGCUGGUGCCUGCAGAAGUUUUGUAACUGAGCAAAAAGAUUAGUAUAUUGAUUGUUAAAGUUGCCAAGUUGACAAAUCCAGAUGACGACGAACUUUUCUUUUAGGAUUACUUAGGAGUCCUCGUGUGUUUGAAACCAGAAGGAACCUUCAAAACCAGCACCUGAUGGAUGAGAUAGCUGGUGCACAGAGGUUAUCUGUCUCCAAGUUACGGAAGAAGUUUUGCUCACCUAUGCUGGGGUAUGUCAAACUUUUCGAUGUGACCACCCUGGAAUAUUCCCUCACCAAUCCCUCCAAAAUAGAGAACCAGAAACUGCUUCGGCCGUAUCAGUAUGAAGUUUAGUUCACAUCAGGUCAGAGGCCUUCAGAGAAUGAAAUGCUGUCAUUUGGGCAUAAAAACCAUUGUAAAAAAAAAAAUGAUUUAGAAAACUAAAAAAAAAAAAAAAAGGAUCUGCAAGUUUUCAAUACAAAGUGGACUGAUAAACAUUUCAGCUCAUCUUGUUUAAAUAAUGUGAGAAGCCCUUUGUUUAGUAUUUUUCAUAAAAAAAAUUCUAGCAUUCCUGAGGUUUUUUUCUUUUUUUCUUUUGUUUUGCUUUUCUAAGACCUCCUUUAUACUCUGAAUAUUUGUAGACCUUUUCAGAGCCUCAAUAAAAAAGCACCAUGAAAAAAAAAUCCUUGACA
rnacentral:lncRNA from 1 species